AUUAAAGUGUGUAAACAGAAUUUCAUACUCGAUCUCAUAGAUCCCUAUAGAAUUAUGUGGAAAGCCGUAUUGGAUGAAAAUCGUAUGUACGGCUUGGAUGAAGAUCUUUCCUAUCUUUCAAGAUCCACCCUACAAUAUGGGAUUAAAAGGCCCAAAAAGUGA
rnacentral:rRNA from 1 species